rnacentral:ncRNA from 2 species
UCCCUGAUACCCUAACUUGUGA